AGUGAACGCUGGCGGUAGGCCUAACACAUGCAAGUCGAACGGCAGCACAGUAAGAGCUUGCUCUUACGGGUGGCGAGUGGCGGACGGGUGAGGAAUACAUCGGAAUCUACUUUUUCGUGGGGGAUAACGUAGGGAAACUUACGCUAAUACCGCAUACGACCUACGGGUGAAAGCAGGGGAUCUUCGGACCUUGCGCGAUUGAAUGAGCCGAUGUCGGAUUAGGUAGUUGGCGGGGUAAAGGCCCACCAAGGCGACGAUCCGUAGCUGGUCUGAGAGGAUGAUCAGCCACACUGGAACUGAGACACGGUCCAGACUCCUACGGGAGGCAGCAGUGGGGAAUAUUGGACAAUGGGCGCAAGCCUGAUCCAGCCAUACCGCGUGGGUGAAGAAGGCCUUCGGGUUGUAAAGCCCUUUUGUUGGGAAAGAAAAGCAGCAGGUUAAUACCCCGCUGUUCUGACGGUACCCAAAGAAUAAGCACCGGCUAACUUCGUG
rnacentral:rRNA from 1 species